GUGAGGAAUAUUGCGCAAUGGGGGCAACCCUGACGCAGCAACGCCGCGUGGGUGAAGAAGGCUUUCGGGUUGUAAAGCCCUGUCAGGUGGGAAGAAACUUCCGCAGGUGAAUAGUCUGUGGAGCUGACGGUACCACCAAAGGAAGCACCGGCUAACUCCGUGCCAGCAGCCGCGGUAAGACGGAGGGUGCAAGCGUUGUUCGGAAUCACUGGGCGUAAAGAGCGUGUAGGCGGUUCGAUAAGUCGAGUGUGAAAGCCCGAGGCUUAACUUCGGAAGUGCACUCGAAACUGUCGUGCUUGAGUACGGGAGAGGGAAGUGGAAUUCCUGGUGUAGAGGUGAAAUUCGUAGAUAUCAGGAGGAACACCGGUGGCGAAGGCGGCUUCCUGGACCGAUACUGACGCUGAGACGCGAAAGCGUGGGGAGCAAACAGGAUUAGAAACCCGAGUAGUCC
rnacentral:rRNA from 1 species